rnacentral:rRNA from 13 species
GGUUUAAUUCGAUGCAACGCGAAAAACCUUACCUACCCUUGACAUGUCUGGAAUCCUGAAGAGAUUUGGGAGUGCUCGAAAGAGAGCCAGAACACAGGUGCUGCAUGGCCGUCGUCAGCUCGUGUCGUGAGAUGUUGGGUUAAGUCCCGCAACGAGCGCAACCCUUGUCAUUAGUUGCUACGAAAGGGCACUCUAAUGAGACUGCCGGUGACAAACCGGAGGAAGGUGGGGAUGACGUCAGGUCAUCAUGGCCCUUAUGGGUAGGGCUACACACGUCAUACAAUGGCCGGGACAGAGGGCUGCCAACCCGCGAGGGGGAGCUAAUCCCAGAAACCCGGUCGUAGUCCGGAUCGUAGUCUGCAACUCGACUGCGUGAAGUCGGAAUCGCUAGUAAUCGCGGAUCAGCUUGCCGCGGUGAAUACGUUCCCGGGUCUUGUACACACCGCCCGUCACACCAUGGGAGCGGGUUCUGCCAGAAGUAGUUAGCCUAACCGCAAGGGGGGCGAUUACCACGGCAGGGUUCGUGACUGGGGUGAAGUCGUAACAAGGUAGCCGUACUGGAAGGUGCGGCUGGAUCACCUCCUU